AGAUCACCGGCUUACCCGAGCCGCUGCAGGCGCCCAGCUCUAACCCCACAGAGUCCUGCCACCAACUUCCAGCGGACACCCAAACUGGAUCCGUCCUCCUGCCAUCGCGCAGGCUCAUCCGCCUGCGCUCCGUCGUGUACAUGGUGCGCCGCCGCUGCCGCCUCCGCUCGAACCACAUUUCCACGGACACUCCCAGCUCUCCUCUCCACACUCCUCACCCCACUCACCCUGAGGGCCCGCCCUGCUGCGCGCCACGCCCCCUGCUGGUCAAACCGAGAACGACUUUCAGACAACUGAAAGUGGAAUGAGCCCUGACGGGACAUUAAAAAACAAGUGUUCUCUCAAAUGUAAUCAUUUGUGACCUUGAAUUAAUAUUUUGUGCGCACAAAUUAGUAUUUUGUUUAAAUAAAUUAGUAUUUUGUGGAAACAAAUUAGCACUUGAGGGCACAAUAUGUAUCAUGUGCAUAUAAAUUAGUAUUUUCUGGCAAUAAUUUAGCAUUUAGCGUGAACAAUUUAGAAUUUUGUGCGCCAAAAUGUAAUAUUUUUUGCAAAAAAAUAUUGUUUCAUGGCAACAAUUGGUGUUUUGUGAAGACAAUUUAAUCUAAUUGUUUGUGUGAAAAAAAUGUAUUUUGUUUGCACACACAUUAGAUUACAGCAAAAAAUUAGCAUUCUGUGCUAACAAAUUAAAAUUUCGUACACACAAACUUGAAAUUUAGGCAGACCAAUUAGUGUUUUGUGUGCAUAGAUUGAUAUCUUGUGACAACAAAUUGGCAUUUUAUUUGCAUGCUGUGCAGAAAAUUAGCAUUUUUGGGCACAAAUUAGUAUUUUGUGGCAAGAAAUUUGCAUUUUUUGCACACAAAUUAGCAUUUGAGGGCACAGUUUGUUUUUUGUACAUAAAAAUUAGUAACAAUUUAAACAAUUUAGUAUUUAGUGCAUGCAAAUUAGUAUUUUGUGGGCACAAAUUAAUGUUUGGUGCAAACCAUUGAGAUUUAUUAGCAUUUUGUGCACACAAAUAAGUAUUGUGUAUGCAGAAAUGAGCAAAUAUAGUAUUUUAUGCUAAUGCAAGGAUAAUUUGUAGCUAAUUUGUGUGCAUAAUUCACUGUUUUCAUGUUCACAAAAUUAUUAUUUGAGGGAACUUUUUAUGUCAUGUUUAGGGCUCUGUACUUUUGCAAACUGUAUAAAACAAACCAAAAAAAAAAAGCAAGAAUCCUUUGGGAUCACCAGGUUUAUUACAUAUAUUGAACAGAAGAUUUGUUCUGAUUUCCUAGCUAAGUCAGAAAAAACGUAGUCUGUUUACUACUAAAAAUGCACACUUUUUGCUUUUAUUUUUAUUAGCCCUUGAUAGUCUGGGAUGUUGAGUGUUUUCUUUUAACUACUUUACACUUUAAUGCUUGUUUUAAACCAAAGAUUUCAAGCUAAUAAUAAAUAUUAUUAUAAUAAUAAAUUGUAAUUACAUUUUGUAUUAAAAUAUGAAUUGCGUGUCAGCAUUAAACCUACAUUAUUGUAAAGAAUUAAAGAGAUCAGCAAAUGGACCGGUGAGUGCAGAGACAGCUGCAACAGGUCAACAUUGACAUCCAAAUGGUUCACAAUGUGUGCACCAUUUGGAUAAUGACUGAAAUAGAAAUACAGAAAAGGGGGCAUUGUGGUUUGGGGCUGCUAUGCUCCCUCAAGGCCAGGAAAAACUAAUUCCAAAAUAUAUUUCCUGGAAGACCAUGUGUCCACAAACCAACUUGAGAAUGGGCCGAUUAAACUCAAACUGAAGAGGUAAACCAGCAACAGGAUGACUCCACCGUGAGUCACAGGAAGUGAUUCACAUCAAACACCUCCAGAAUAUUGAAUUUUUUUCUUUUUCAAAAAGAAUGGUGCCAAAUUCCUCCCCACCAUUGUGCAAGUUUGAUCUGCAACUACAGGAAAUGUUUGGUUAUAUGUUGCCAAAGGACGCUCAACCAAACCUGAAGGUUCAAAUACUUUUUCCCCUUUGCACUAUAAAUGCUUACACUUUGUAUUCAAUAAAAAACAACAUAUUUGUGUGGUA